rnacentral:rRNA from 1 species
CCUACGGGUGGCAGCAGUGGGGAAUAUUGCUCAAUGGGGGAAACCCUGAUGCAGCGACGUCGCGUGAGUGAUGAAGUAUCUCGGUAUGUAAAGCUUUAUCAGCAGGGAAGAAAAUGACGGUACCUGACUAAGAAGCCCCGGCUAACUACGUGCCAGCAGCCGCGGUAAUACGUAGGGGGCAAGCGUUAUCCGGAUUUACUGGGUGUAAAGGGGGCGUAGACGGCGGUGCAAGUCAGAUGUGAAAGCCCGGGGCUCAACCCCGGGACUGCAGUUGGAACUGGGCUGCUAGAGUGUCGGAGAGGCAUGCGGAAUGCGGAGUGUAGCGGUGAAAUGCGUAGAUAUUAGGAGGAACACCAGUGGCGAAGGCGGCCUGCUGGACGAUGACUGACGUUGAGGCUCGAAAGCGUGGGGAGCAAACAGGAUUAGAUACCCUUGUAGUC